CGCCGCGGCCCUGGACGCACCCUGGAUGGACCGAGGUGGAUGGCGGCGGGCCGGGCCGGACCGGAGACAUGGGUGCUGCUUAGUCCGCAGAGUCCGGUCCAGGGCGGUGUGAAGGGUCCGGUUCGGUCCCGGGCGGACGAAUUUUCUGCUCCCCGGGGUCCGGGCCCGAGGCUGGGGGGUUUUCUGGCCGGGAUAUCAUUCCCCGGGGAAUGGGCAGGGCCAAAAGCACCGAAAUCCUGACCGGCAGGAAGGCAGGCCGGACCCCAGUGUCUGGACUGGAGCAACGCGGACAGACCUUCCCUCCCUGCCCGCCGCCGCCCAGCCUCCGGGAGGCCGCAGGCCUCGACUUCUGGAAGACAAAACCGUUCUCACAGUACGAUUUGGGAAGUCACUGGGCUCCCCGAGGCCUAUUCUUCUUCUAGAGCGGUUGCAGAUACAAGCCUCAUCAUGCUUUGGUUACGAAGAUGAACUUCAUCUCGUGGGUUUGCAUUCUGACUCUGGUGGUCACGGCAAGGGUGUGCCCCCCAAAACUCCGGGCGAGCGGGCGGCCCGCCUGAAAUAUCUUCCCGUUUCCGUGGCCACUCCGCUGCACGUUGGAAGGGGUUGUGACCCCUUUUGUGAGCAGUCUUCCAGCGUGACUAUGAAAUUCAGAGUCAUGGUCCGUGAGGACCCGUCAGCCUGAUGUGGGUAUUGGGGGUGUUGCAAAGUCCAGGGGUAAUCAGCUCGAGCAACCACAGGACACUUGACAUUUUGAUGAUGGGACCAUUGAACGUAAACAACUCUUCAUUCCAAGCAUCAUGGUGAUUGUCCUCAUACUGGGGCUCAUUAUUGCUCUAGAAUCACUUUGAGUGUCGGACCACACACACAGGGUGGUAGAUUUGUGCUGUGUGACAGACUCGGAAAAUUCUGGCAACCACAUCAAGACGUCUACAAGGACUAAACCUAACCACUCAACUCCAUUAGUAGACUGUGACUCUGGUAACUGCUAAAACGCUACUAAAACUUGUCCUAAGGGUGGAGAGACUUGUCCUAAGUGUGGAGAAACUUGUCCAGAUAACUGGGUGCAGUUCGAGAAGACUUGCUACUUUUUCAAUGGAAAAAAAAAUUGGACCAGGAGCCAGGAAUUCUGUAAAUCCCAAGAUGCUGAGCUGGUCGUGAUUAAAAACCAACAGGAGCUGUCAUUGGUUCGGAAAUUCCAGGAUUCCUGGAUUGGUCUCUACAGGAAAAAUGGAGAACUGUAUUGGGUAAAUGGAGUCCCACUGAACGAGAGUCUGUUUGAAGUCACUGACCCUGGAGACUGUGCUUAUGUUUCUGCCAAUAAGAUUGCUACAAAUGCCUGUUCCACACCCAAGUUCUACAUUUGCAGCAAGAGUCUGACUGUGACGUGAAGGAGGAAGAGAGUGGAGAUGGAACCGAAUAGGAAGACUAUUAACGUGGAGGAGGAGGAAUGUUGGGAAGACUCAGAGUUCUGAGUGACUCCCAGACUGUUAGUUCCUAAAGUAAACUGUAAACUCUUUGAAGGCAG